ACCAUUGUCCACAGGCUUCUGUCCCCCCUGAUCCCAUCCAUCUUCUUCGAGGACCUGAAGGAGCUGGCAUUGUGAAGUCUUGUUGCUUUGUCUUUUUCCUUCCUUCCUUCCCUCUGAUCCCCUUUGAUUCUACUCCCACAGUGUCUUCCAUGCAGGUUUUCAUGUGACUGCAUGUGUAAGCUCACUGUUUGCAUGCCUGCUUACAACUAAGGCCAGAUACUUGUACUGCCAGCCAAGGAAAAGCUGUGGAUCUAUGUAAGAAAUGCUGCUGAAAUUAUACAUCUCAGAGAACUGUGUUUGGCAAACUUCUUGAUGGAUCAGAUCAACCAACUUUGAAAUUGUGCCCUCCAAAAGCAAGCAAGCAAGCAAGCAAGCAAACAAACAAGUUUAUUUUGCAUUAGUUGAGGAAAGAGUAGAAUUACCUGAGAUCUUGUUAAAGGGUUCUAUUUUUACUAUCUGUAAGGAGGCACUUCUAAUUAUUAAAAUGUUGU
rnacentral:sRNA from 1 species